UCUAACAUGGCAGAUUAGUGCAGUGAAUUUAAGAUUCAAAUAUAAAGUUCUUCUUUUGUUAGAA
rnacentral:tRNA from 1 species